rnacentral:rRNA from 1 species
GACAGAGGGGGCAAGCGUUGCUCGGAAUUACUGGGCGUAAAGGGCGCGUAGGCGGGAUGGCAAGUCGGUCGUGAAAUCCUUCGGCUCAACCGAAGAACGUCGAUCGAUACUGCUGUUCUUGAGGGUUGCAGAGGAGACUGGAAUUCCCGGUGUAGCGGUGAAAUGCGUUGAUAUCCUAAGGAACACCGGUGGCGAAAGCGGCGUACUGGGUCUUUUCUGACGCUGAGGCACGAAAGCUAGGGUAGCGAACGGG